CGGCAUUGGCUCACAGAACCGUGUUCUGCCUACAGCACGGCCUGGCACGAAGAGGAAACUGCAUGCUGGGGUAUCUCACAGAGGCCACGGAGAGAAGAGCUCUGAGUAAACUCGCGCCUUUCCUCGAGACCUCGGCAAUAGGAUCCUUCUCUCUCUGUGUCAUUGUCUAGCUGAAACGAAAACCCCUGUGGUGAAGACAGGGCAGCUCAGGAUACAGCAGAGAGUCUGCGUAAAGAAACAACAAGCUGAAUUGUU